UGUUGCUUGAAGGGACCAAGGGUGGCU
rnacentral:piRNA from 1 species